rnacentral:lncRNA from 1 species
GACAGAGCAGCAGCAAGAUUUAUGCCUCGAUGCCCUGCCUGAUGAUGCAGACGACGUGCACUGAUGCCAGAUGAAACGGUCUCUUCAUCAGUGAUACGCGUCUGAGUAGCAUUAGGCCAUUAGAUACAACUUUACAGCUGUCUAUUCACUAUUCAGUAUCACUUCGACGUUCCUGCACAGAUGUUUUCACAUCGAUUUGAGGAUGAGGAAAACAUUUCGAUGCAUUAUUGGAUUCGAGACUUUUCGAUACUCGAUUCGAUACUUUUGGUAUGGUGUUGUGGAAAAAAAAGAUUUUGAAGCACUCGAAUAGGUGCAACGCCUUACCUGUCCCAAAAGUCCUUCAGCAGACGUUUUCUAAAAAGCCCUUUAGUGAAAACCCGCCAAAAUUUACUGCUUUUACCAGAGUCAAACGAGCGAUACAGCUGGAUUUAAAAAGGAUAACGAAUCCAAUAAUUGGGUCAAUCAACAGAGGACUCAGUUUUAUCGUUGCUAGCCCAAUUUAUAAAGAAUUUUACAAUGCUGGGAAUAAAGUCAAACUUAAAAGUGUUGAAACAAAUGAUGCUAUUGACAGCUAUGUUCAAUAUGCUGUAAACAAAGUUUUUGCUCCUGUAUGAUAUAAAAAUAUGUAUUUAAUAAAUAAUUACAUUAUA